rnacentral:tRNA from 1 species
CAAUUGAUUGGAUCGUAGGUGCGAUGAUUUACUUCACGGGCGAGGUCUCUGGUUCAAAUCCAGGAUGUCCCA